rnacentral:tRNA from 1 species
CCCUUGCCUGCCGGAUGCAGACCUAUCUUUCCUAAAGAUGGAGUGUCAAGUUCGACUCUUGAGCAAGGGGC